rnacentral:rRNA from 1 species
AUUGAACGCUGGCGGCAGGCCUAACACAUGCAAGUCGAGCGAGCGGCGGGCGGGGGAGAAAAGUAUGGGGACAGCCCGACAGCGGGGGGUCACUACUGUAAACGGCGGCUAAUACCCCAUACUGUCGGAUAACCCAUAUGGGAUGAGCUGUUAGGUAAGUUAAUGCCUUACCUAGGCGACGAUCCCUAGCGGUUCUGAGAGGAUGAUCAGCCACACUGGGACUGGGACACGGCCAAGCCUCCUACGGAGGCGGCAGUGGGGAAUAUUGCACAAUGGGCGAAAGCCUGAUGCAGCCAUGCCGCGGGUAUGAAGAAGGCCUUAGGGUUGUAAAGUACUUUCAGCCGGGAGGCGUUACCGACAGAAGAAGCACCGGCUAACUCCGUGCCAGCAGCCGCGGUAAUUC